UUCAAUGGCACAACUUAUCAGAAUUUCUAUUUAAAGGAUUUCUAUUAUUGGAAGUGGAUUAUGGAGAAACCAAACAGGUCAAGAGGUUCCUGGCUGGCAAUAUGGGUUUACUGAAGACGUUGUUCUGUCUACUUCUGUUACAUCCAGUUCUAGACUGUGAACUUUUACAACAUCUACCUUUAUUUGUACUCCUGGAAAAGUACUGUGAAGCUCUGUCAUCUUUAUCCAACAUUACAGGGUUUAAACAAUACAGAGAGACAUUGGGGGUGGAGUUGAAACACCAGCACAAGCAAGCAGGAUUUAUUCACAAAACAGAAAGUAAACAAAGGGGUCAUGUGACGUUACCAGCGAUGGUAACGUACAGAGGACACAUACAGCAAGCUGUACAAAAGGCAAAAUAAAACACAGUCCAAAAACUACAAAUAAAAGGUGCCACAGAGGGCGAGCGCUGGCCUUAUAAAACAAGACGUCCCACUCUCCAACUCCAGGAACCGGCUACACCACAUAACCUUCACUAUACAUCACAUGGGAUCACUAUCCCCUAAACUAACCUACUGAUGAGCCGGUCUUCAUACAACGACUCGGGCUGCUUCAUACGGCCUUGACUGGGCAUUGCCUUCACAAGCACCGCCUGCAGUCUCAGGGUUGUGUAGCUGUCGUUCCUGCAGAGCGGACCCUCUCCUCCCGAGUAUACGCCGCUCCCCUCUGGUAUGGUGUUGCAGUCGUCUGUGUAAAGGGAUCAGAGUGCCUCGGACUGGAUGGUCUGGCAAUUAAUUCCAGGGAAAGGUGGAAGUCGGCCAUCUAGAAAGGGGGCGGAGCCACGGUACACCAAGUCAUCGCCCCAGACGGGAGGCGAUGUGGCAAUCACGAAUUGGAGGAAAAACGGUUGCACUCGCUAACUAAGGGGGCGUGACUGAUGGUACAUAGCGAAGCAAUCUGUUCCUUUGUUAUGGUUGCGAGAGAACCAAUGAAGGAUUGUAAAAGAACUGUGAGUGUUUAGUGUUUGUUUGUUUUGUCGUUUCUAAUUGUACUCGUUUGUUCUUAUUAGACAGCUAACACGUACCGGGAGCUGUCGCUUAAGGCCAGCACCAACACGGACAACACUUCAUGCAGUGUUGCUCGGAUAUAUUGUGAGAAGUGUUGAAUUUAAAUCAAGGGAAGUAAUGUUAAAAUUUUACAAUGCAUUAGUAAGACCUCACCUAGAAUAUUGUGUUAAGUUCUGGUCACCUCGUUACAAAAAGGAUAUUGCUGCUCUCGAAAGAGUGCAAAAAGAGCAACCAGAAUUAUCCCAGGUUUAAAAGGCAUGUCGUAUGCAGACAGGCUAAAAGAAUUGAAUCUAUUCAGUCUUGAACAAAGAAGACUACGCGGUGAUCUGAUUUAAGCAUUCAAAAUCCUAAAAGGUAUAGACAAUGUUGACCCAGGGGACUUUUUUGACCCGAAAAAAGGACCAGGGGUCACAAAUUUAGAUUAGAUAAAGGGGCAUUCAGAACAGAAAAUAGGAGGCACUUUUUUACACAGAGAAUUGUGAGGGUCUGGAACCAACUCCCCAGUAAUGUUGUUGAAGCUGACACCCUGGGAUCCUUCAAGAAGCUGCUUGAUGAGAUUCUGGGAUCAAUAAGCUACUAAUAACCAAAUGAGCAAGAUGGGCUGAAUGGACUCCUCUCGUUUGUAAACUUUCUUAUGUUCUUCUUAUGUUCCUUAUGUUCACCACUGUACAUGAAUAAAUUGUAUUUCACUACUUGCACGUUAGCACUCACUCUGGACAUGUGACCGUGUUUGUGUCUUGUGUGUGUUUAUACUGUGUUUAUUAUUUCGGGACUGUAACCCGUGGUUUAACAAUGUAUUGCCUGGGAUUAUUAUUUACGGUUGCCACACGACCUGGAUUAUAAAUGGAAACAAAUAAAGAAUUG